rnacentral:rRNA from 1 species
AGGACGAACGCUGGCGGCGUGCUUCACACAUGCAAGUCGAACGGGGCUCAUUCGGUGGUAACACCGGAGAAGGCCUAGUGGCGAACGGGUGCGUAACACGUGAAGAACCUGCCCCGAAGACUGGGAUAACAGCGGGAAACCGCUGCUAAUACCGGAUGACCCCACCAGGCCGCAUGGCCAGGUGAGGAAAUGGGCCUACCGCUUCGGGAGGGCUUCGCGGCCUAUCAGCUUGUUGGUGGGGUAACGGCCUACCAAGGCUACGACGGGUAGCUGGUCUGAGAGGACGACCAGCCACACUGGGACUGAGACACGGCCCAGACUCCUACGGGAGGCAGCAGUGGGGAAUAUUGCGCAAUGGGGGAAACCCUGACGCAGCGACGCCGCGUGCGGGAUGAAGGCCUUCGGGUUGUAAACCGCUUUCACCAGGGAAGAAUCCAGACGGUACCUGGGGAAGAAGCGCCGGCUAACUACGUGCCAGCAGCCGC